rnacentral:miRNA from 1 species
CUCACAAAGUGGCUGUAAUGUG